UUGACUCAUGUUGCCUCGGCGGGUCCUCCCGCCAGAGGAUACAUCAAAACUCCUGUUUUAACGGUGUUGUCUGAGCUACAAGCAACGAAUCAAAACUUUCAACAACGGAUCUCUUGGUUCUGGCAUCGAUGAAGAACGCAGCGAAAUGCGAUAAGUAGUGUGAAUUGCAGAAUUCAGUGAAUCAUCGAAUCUUUGAACGCACAUUGCGCCCCUUGGUAUCCCGAGGGGCAUGCCUGUUCGAGCGUCAUUUCACCACUCAAGCCUGGCUUGGUGUUGGGCGACGUCCCCCUUUAGGGACGCGCCUCGAAACGCUCGGCGGCGUGGCACCGGCUUUAAGCGUAGCAGAAUCUUUCGCUUUGAAAGUCGGGGCCCCGUCUGCCGGAAGACCUACUCACAAGGUUGACCUCGGAUCAGGUAGGGAUACCCGCUGAACUUAAGCAUAUC
rnacentral:misc_RNA from 1 species